rnacentral:rRNA from 1 species
UACGGGGGGGCAAGCGUUGUUCGGAAUUACUGGGCGUAAAGGCUCGUAGGUGGCCAACUAAGUCAGACGUGAAAUCCCUCGGCUUAACCGGGGAACUGCGUCUGAUACUGGAUGGCUUGAGAUUGGGAGAGGAUGCGGAAUUCCAGGUGUAGCGGUGAAAUGCGUAGAUAUCUGGAGGAACACCGGUGGCGAAGGCGGCAUCCUGGACCAACACUGACACUGAGGAGCGAAAGCCAGGGAGCAAACGGG